ACUUGGUAUUCUUGCUCUUUCUGCUAUGACAGACUGCAGUAGGGUGGUUAAUUCAAUUAUUUUACUAACUUAAGUUUAAGUGACCCAUUUUUAACUUUUUUUUACGAAGUUGUGCCUGUCAUCAGGGAAUUGUGGGAUGCGAUGUUGCGAUUCCUGUCAUCUGCGUUUUGAUUGGUUGGAUUAGUUCCUGUUCUUGUCUUGCUUUGAGUUGUCGGAAGAAGCCUUGAGUGAUGGCAGAAGGGUUUGUUCUUCGGUUUCUGGCGCUAAUGUUUGGAUAUUGAGUCAGUGAACUAACGUCAUCACCACGCAGGCAGGUGAAAGAAAUCUACGCCGGGGGAUUUGUGAUAUUCUUUUCAAUCUGAGUGACCUUUCAGGGAGCGUACAUUUCUCCAGUACAUUUCUCCAGGACCGGUCAUGACCGUUACUGAUGGUGAGAGUGGCACAAGCUACCUGGCAUGGAGGAUUAAAAACUUUUCAGCAAUCUGAAGCAGGACGCAGACGAGCAUCACACAGAGGUGACACUACAAUUUUGAAAGAGUUAAACAAUUUUGGAAUUAAUUUUCAUUUAAAUAAAAUUUGCUCCCAAAUUUAUUUGUCAAAUACGACCUUUGUUGUGAAG